AGCGAACGCUGGCGGCAGGCUUAACACAUGCAAGUCGAACGGGCACUUCGGUGCUAGUGGCAGACGGGUGAGUAACGCGUGGGAACGUGCCUUUCGGUUCGGAAUAAUCCAGGGAAACUUGGACUAAUACCGGAUACGCCCUUCGGGGGAAAGAUUUAUCGCGGAAAGAUCGGCCCGCGUCUGAUUAGCUAGUUGGUGAGGUAAAGGCUCACCAAGGCGACGAUCAGUAGCUGGUCUGAGAGGAUGAUCAGCCACAUUGGGACUGAGACACGGCCCAAACUCCUACGGGAGGCAGCAGUGGGGAAUAUUGGACAAUGGGCGCAAGCCUGAUCCAGCCAUGCCGCGUGAGUGAUGAAGGCCUUAGGGUUGUAAAGCUCUUUUGUCCGGGAAGAUAAUGACUGUACCGGAAGAAUAAGCCCCAGCUAACUUCGUGCCAGCAGCCGCCGUAACAC
rnacentral:rRNA from 1 species